AAUUUUAUUGUAUAUUCUAAAAUGCUAAAAAUAUUCAGUUCUUGUCACUUGAGUAAAGUUUAUAUUGAUGAGACCGAGUUAAAUAUUAGCAUUUGAAAUUCGUGUUAAGAUGAUGCUUGAUGUGCUACUCACUUCUCACUAUGUUUCUAAAGUUUAUACGAGGAGUGACUGAUCUGACAGAUUUCAUAGUAUGGUUGAAAACACAAGAGACUGAUCAGACCAAGUUUUUAUCAUUGGAGGUUGAUUCUAAAACAAUGUGUAUAUGUUUAUACCGGAAACGACUGAUAUGACUCAGGUUUUAGCAGUUAUGUUUGGUUUUGUAAUGAUCAUAU